CGUGUGACACCAAGAGGACAGAGAGAGUUCCCAGCCUUCCAGGUAUCCCCAGCAAUGCCCCAGAUAUGUGGGUAAGGCCAUCUUGGACCUUCUAGCCCAAGGCAAUCCAGCUGCUAACUGUAUGCAGCCAGAUGAGUGAGCCCAGGAAAGAUCAUCAAGAAAUGCCCAAACAGCAAUAAGAAUGGAGAGAAACAAUAGCUUGCUGUUGUUUAAGUUACUAGUUUUGUGAUGGCUUUAUAUGGCAAUAGCUAACUGAUACAGCCAUUCUCAUCAAGACAAGUAUCUCCAGGCAGCUGGCAAGCCCUGAUAUUCAGGGCCUGGUCUCUGAGCUCUCUCAGUGAAAUUUCAUGGGCAUUGACACUGGAUUACAAGGCACCUUUUUUUGCCCAUGUCCUUGAGCACCCAAAUGCCAUGGCAGAUGUCAUCUAUUCCUGCGUAGUCAGUAAUGCUGGGUGUAAACAAGUAAAUAAGGAGUAUCAAUCCCAGUGUCUGAGACCCUGGCCCCAAUACUAACUUGUUCAGUAUAAAAAUAUCACUUCCUUCUACUUUCUGCUCAACAGAGAAAAGUGAUAUCAGUAAUGCUGUUAUUGGUAAUACUGGAAUAAGUGGGAAAUUUCAGAGAAAGUUAGUUUCUGCCCCUGGGACAUCCCAAGAUAAACAAUUAUACCCUGCAACUGAAAGGACAGAAAAGAUAAUUUAAAUGCUAUCAUGAAGCCAGCCCAGACCCAGACCUGGUGAUAAAAACAAACAAACAAACAAACAAACAAACAAACAAACAAACAAAACAAAAACUAAGUUACUCUGAUAGUGCUUUCAUUCCAGGAUUCUUUUCAACCCUUCACCUUCUAAUCACCAGACCUGGCACUUAAUCCUGGAGAUACAAAGAUGAGUAAGACUGCUUUGAAAGAACUUCCUGGCUAACCUAGGGAACACACAUGUAAACAAAUACACGUGAUUCAUUUGUUAUGAAUCAUAAUAGAGGAAGAACACUGGCACAGAUCUAGGUAAGACCAGGAAGUAACAGAUUUUUCGUUUGUUUGAACACAAGAAUAUAUGUGUACAAAUGAACAAUUUUUGUUAAAAACUUUCACCUUGGGAAGCAAUCCUUUUUUCAAUACUGCUGCCCUUUCCUAGGAAUGACAUCAAAUAAAGUCCCAUAUAAGAAAACGCCUCACUACCAACAGAUAAGUACGGUACCACCCUGCCUGCCCUUUUACCAAAUUUUGUAAUAAACGGCUUUUUUGCUCUUUCAGGAAAAAAAAAAAAGAAUCAAACUCCCUUUCAAAUCAUAAGGCUCUGCCACCUUUGAGGAUAUUGAAAAAAAUUUAUAAUUUUCUGAAUGCAAUUAAAAUUUAACAGCUAUGUCUGCUUUGUUAGAAUGUGAGGCCUACCAGGUUACUCAGAAUGGGUAAUUCUCACUUGAGUAUCAUACAAGUUCUACUAGUUACAGGGGGCAGGGUUGUGUGUGUGUCUGUCUAAUUGCUUUACUCUAUAGAUACAACUUUGAUGCUUAUAAUUCUAUUUCAGGUGUGUCUUCAUCUUCCUCAACUAGUAAUCCAAGCCUUGGGGUCAGACUGACUUCCAGAUCUGGAUGUGGCAUAUAACUUCAGAUCAUGGAGAUGGCUCAAAUCAACUGCUGUUCCUUUUCCUCCAGGGACAAACACUGCAGUGCCAUUCACAGCAAGAGUGACUGCUGGCCACUUACUUCAACAGCUCCUGACACCUCCUGCAAAUGAGUGGGAGCACCCAUGCAAACUCUCUCGCCAGACCCUGGUUUAAAAGAUGGAUGCCAAACCCAAUCUCAAGAGAAGCAUCCUUUUUUUUUUUUAUCAGGCCCCAAAGGUAUGAAAAGCCGAAGACCUUGGAGCUGGCUGUGCUCAUUGGUGGUGCGGCAGCUGCCUGAGAAAAGAAGCAUGUGGCCCCUCGAUGCUGGCCGUGAGGCUGAGCGCCGCCUGCGUCGGGCACGCACCGGUGUCUCUCAGCGCAGCCCCAGGAUCUGCGGCUUUUUCAAGUAGUUUGGACAGGAGCGGUGCAGGCGGGUGUAGGGGAGGGCAACAGGCGGUGAGGGCAGUCAGAGGAUGAGAGGGAAGUGGUGAGCCGCGAGGAGGAUUUCAUUAUGCAAACAGACGGGCAGGUUUCAUCAGCGCCUGUGCGCCACGGCUCCAGGGCUGGGAGGGAAUGCCUGGCUUCCGAGGGCAACCCAACGCUGGCCCGCCACCGGUGCCAGCUCAGCUUCCUCUUCCUCAUCCACUCUGAGGGAGGUCACACGGUCCCCCCUCCCCCCGAACAGAGGAACGUGCUUUUCUGCACAGCACUGCUCGCCGCCCCACGUCCCUCGGUGGAGAUCCCACAAGCCUAAAUGGGCAACCUGCCACAGGUGCCGGCGAGGCGCUGCUGGAACAGGCGAACACCCUCAGCCCAGAACCUCCGUCAGGGGGUGCAUGCCCGACGCAAAACUGGGGGGUAACUCGCAAAGAAAAAAGGACUCUACAAGAGUCAUUUAUCCCAACAGAGAAUGCCCGUCCCAUCCUCUAAAAAACCCGGCCAAGCCUCUUCUUGAUCCGUGGGCCACCCAGACACCACCGUAUUCCGCCUCAGAACUGCCCCCCAACACCACGAGAGGCGGCACGCCUCGGCAUGUGGCAGUCCUGGAAGCGUGUGCAUCUGUUUGGGUGGGAGGCACUCAGCUGUCUCUCAGACCAGGAGGAAACUAAUGCGGCAGUUUGCAACCCGGCGCUGGAGGACGCACCCAGAGGGCAGGCAACGGGAGGUGGCCACCUCCGUGACCCUCGCUGCCUCCCUGAAUCGCCUUACCAGUUCUUCCCAGUCACCGCGCCCCUGAACCUGGCUGCCCAGUUCAAUGGGCGAUGCCGAUCACCCCGAUCUGCCCAGUCCGUCCUCCCCACCGCCCGCACCGGGAGCCUCCGAGACGC